UUCGACAGUUGACCGGGUCUGCGAAAUUCCGGCCAGACAGACCUGUUACCGGAAAAGUCUCCGAAUUGGACCGAAGUUUUGGCUAGCCCCCCAUUGUCAGACGUCCCGAGCGCGUUUCCGAAGUCGAAAUUGGCAAAGGUGAGCCGGGACAGCCUUCUUCCUCCGCCCAGCCGCCACAGUGAUUGUCGUCAAGUCUGAAAAUGCGUAAAAGCAGGAGAGCUGCCACUGCACCAGAGCCAGAUGUGCCUGAUGAGGUGUCAGCACAGGAUGAGGCACCUGCCCCGAGGAGGCGAGGUAGGAGGCCUAGAGCUGCUCAAGUAGAGGAGCAGCCACCCCCAGUACAGGAUCAGUCCUUUAUGGCAUCGGGUCCCAUGGACCCAAUGGCAGCUACUCUAGCUGGUCUGCAGAGAACCAUCGAUAUGAUGGCGUAGUAUAUGGUCCACCCUCCACAGCAGCAGCAGUCCACCGCACC